GACGAACGCUGGCGGCGUGCUUAACACAUGCAAGUCGAACGGAAAGGCCCUGCUUUUGUGGGGUGCUCGAGUGGCGAACGGGUGAGUAACACGUGAGUAACCUGCCCUUGACUUUGGGAUAACUUCAGGAAACUGGGGCUAAUACCGGAUAGGAGCUCCUGCUGCAUGGUGGGGGUUGGAAAGUUUCGGCGGUUGGGGAUGGACUCGCGGCUUAUCAGCUUGUUGGUGGGGUAGUGGCUUACCAAGGCUUUGACGGGUAGCCGGCCUGAGAGGGUGACCGGCCACAUGGGGACGGGGAAACGGCCCAGACCCCUACGGGAGGAAGGAGGGGGGAAUAAUGCAAAAGGGGGGGAAGCCUGAUGCAGCAACGCCGGGGGGGGGAUGACGGCCUUCGGGGUGUAAACCGCUUUCCCCUGGGACGAAGGGGGAGUGACGGUAAUGGGUAAAGAAGCACCGGCUAAAUACG
rnacentral:rRNA from 1 species